CGACGUGGAUAACCUGCCUCACACAGGGGAGUAACAGUUAGAAAUGACUGCUAAUACCGCAUAAGCGCACGGCAUCGCAUGAUGCAGUGUGAAAAACUCCGGUGGUGUGAGAUGGAUCCGCGUCUGAUUAGGUAGUUGGUGGGGUAACGGCCUACCAAGCCGACGAUCAGUAGCCGACCUGAGAGGGUGACCGGCCACAUUGGGACUGAGACACGGCCCAA
rnacentral:rRNA from 1 species